AAGGAUUUAAGUUAAAUAUUAAACUCGUAGCCUUCAAAGCUUCUAAUAAAGAUUUAUUUAUUCUUUAAGCCUUA
rnacentral:tRNA from 1 species